rnacentral:lncRNA from 1 species
AAGAAGUGAUCAUAUUACCAACUAUUCAUUAAGCAUUAAUCACCUAAUAAACCAUAUCAAAUUUCUUACAUAAUACUAGACAACAUUUUUUUGUAUAAUUUGUUCAAAAUAAGAUAGAUAUUACAAAAGGAACUGUUGUUUAGUCACCAUAACUACGUUUAAGUAAUUCCAAACUUCUAUCAAAUCCUAUUUAUUACCCUUUUCUCGACUAGAAAAAAAUGUAGCUGAAAAUAUGUCUCUAAACUUCCUUAUCAUCUCCUUCGUUCUAUUGUCUUCAGAGAAUUUCGAUAGACAAUGCAAGAUAAUAUCUUCCAUAUUAUCCUUUUCAGUUGAGACAUUGUUGAAAAUUGUUUCAUACUUUUCUUCAUACUCCUGGGAAAAAAAGACAUUAGAAUAUUUUUCUUAUAUUAAGUUAGGACAUAAUUAAAAUAUAUUCUAAAACAUAAUUAAAUAAUAUAUUCUACUUAGAAUAUACCUCAAUACGUGUGUCCUGAUUCUCAUUCUUCUAAUUCUCAUUCUUCUCACGUUCUAAAUUUGAACUUUGUUCAAUUAGAUUUCCAACCCCAAAUCUACCAGCUUUAAUCUCAAAAGAUUGUCUUUCCUUCAACUUAUCUGUUGUUCACAUCGUAACUAAUGGUGUUUUACGUUCUAUUUUUUGGAGCUUGCAUUCAAUUUCAUCACAGUAAAUUAGCUGCAUUAUUUCAACAUCAUAUUAGAUAUCCAUUUUUAAGAAAAAAAAAAAAAGUAUAUGAAAAAAC